UGUUAUGGAUAAUCAAUGAAAAUGGUUUCUUGAGAUGGAAUCUAUUCCUGGUGAGGAUGCUGUGAA
rnacentral:pre_miRNA from 1 species